GACGAACGCUGGCGGCGUGCUUAACACAUGCAAGUCGAACGGAAAGGCCCUGCUUUUGUGGGGUGCUCGAGUGGCGAAAGGGUGAGUAACACGUGAGUAACCUGCCCUUGACUUUGGGAUAACUUCAGGAAACUGGGGCUAAUACCGGAUAGGAGCUCCUGCUGCAUGGUGGGGGUUGGAAAGUUUCGGCGGUUGGGGAUGGACUCGCGGCUUAUCAGCUUGUUGGUGGGGUAGUGGCUUACCAAGGCUUUGACGGGUAGCCGGCCUGAGAGGGUGACCGGCCACAUUGGGACUGAGAUACGGCCCAGACUCAUACGGGAGGCAUCAGUGGGGAAUAUUGCACAAUGGGCGGAAGCAGGAUGCAGCAACGCCGCGUGCGGGAUGACGGCCUUCGGGUUGUAAACCGCUUUCGCCUGUGACGAAGCGUGAGUGACGGUAAUGGGUAAAGAAGCACCGGCUAACUACGUG
rnacentral:rRNA from 1 species